CCAUUAGAUUGUAAGCUUGUUGAGGACAGUGACUGUCUUUUACCUCUUUCAGAUUCCCCAGCACUUUAGCACAGGGUCUAGUAUACAGCAGACACUUAAUAGAUACUUAUUUACUACUGACCGCUCAAGAACUUUCUAUGGCUCAUUAUUCCUUCUAGGAUAAUAUAUGAGAUACUUGGCUUGGCAUUUAAAGCCCUUUGAAUUCUGAUGCCAGCUGACCUUUCCAGUCCCCCUCACCAUUUCUCUAUUUUAUUUAUUCAUUUAAUUUAUUUAAUUCAUUUUCAUUAUUUCAUUUCACUUCUUUUACGCACCUUACAUUUGAGCCAAACUGGCCUACGCUGUUACCUGGUCUCAGAACUCCAUCUCCUGCCUCUAUGAUCUUGAGCCGGCCGGCCCCCAUGCCUGCUCGCUGUUUCUAGGCCUGUCCUCUAGCCAAGGCCCCACGGGAGAGAUGGGGCAGGCUCAGACCAAAGCUCCGGGGAGACAGAGGCUGAGAGCAGGAUGGAUUUGACCUUGUCUGCCCGGGGAUCUGUUCCAUGACUAAAAAGACGAGGAAACUGAGGCACAGAGAUAAUGUCAAACCAGUGACUCUAAAUCCAAGGCUCUUUCCCACUCUCCCAGGGACUGAAGCUCACAACCUUGGCCUGGUAUGUCUCUGGUUCUGGGGAAUCUCGAGAUGCAGAAGAAAUGAUGCCCACAGUAGUGUCAAGAAAAGGGGGUAAGGAGCGGAUAGAGAGGAAACAGAGGAAGAGGAAGCGUCGGCAGAAAUGGGUCCACAGAUCAGGCGGGGGAAUGAGGGGCUGCAGGCCACUUUAAGUGUGAGGCAGACACAGGGAUUGCAUUAUGGUAGGAGCCGGGGCUGGCACAGCCGAACGAUCGUCCCCAUAAUCCUGUUAGCCAGCAAUCUCCAUUCCGAAAGAGCUUCAUUUCUUUGUGAAUAUUU